AACGAACGCUGGCGGCAGGCCUAACACAUGCAAGUCGAGCGCCCUUUCGGGGGAGCGGCGGACGGGUGAGUACGCGUGGGAAUAUGCCCUUCUCUACGGAAUAGCCUCGGGAAACUGAGAGUAAUACCGUAUACGCCCUGUGGGGGAAAGAUUUAUCGGGGAAGGAUUAGCCCGCGUUGGAUUAGGUAGUUGGUGGGGUAAUGGCCUACCAAGCCGACGAUCCAUAGCUGGUUUGAGAGGAUGAUCAGCCACACUGGGACUGAGACACGGCCCAGACUCCUACGGGAGGCAGCAGUGGGGAAUCUUAGACAAUGGGGGCAACCCUGAUCUAGCCAUGCCGCGUGAGUGAUGAAGGCCUUAGGGUUGUAAAGCUCUUUCAGCUGGGAAGAUAAUGACGGUACCAGCAGAAGAAGCCCCGGCUAACUCCGUG
rnacentral:rRNA from 1 species